GUUUUAUUUUUUUUUUAAAUCAAAUACAAUGUUUAAAUUUAAAAGAUUUUAUAAAUCAGUCAAGACUUUUUUACAGUCUUGACUUGGGUGCACAGGGAUAUAUGAGAAAAGGUUGGAGUGCACAGUUUAUGUAUUGAAUUACUUCAAUACCAGCACAUCCUUUAUCAAUAAUGAUCCUUCCGCAGGUUCACCUACGGAAA
rnacentral:misc_RNA from 1 species